GAUGAACGCUGGCGGCGUGCCUAACACAUGCAAGUCGAGCGAGAAAUUUAUGAACGAAACUUCGGUCUAGGGAUUAAAUGGAAAGCGGCGGACGGGUGAGUAACGCGUAGGCAACCUACCCCUUACAGAGGGAUAGCCUCGGGAAACCGGGAUUAAAACCUCAUAACACAUCAUAAACACAUGUUUGAGAUGUCAAAGAUUUAUCGGUAAGGGAUGGGCCUGCGUCUGAUUAGAUAGUUGGUAGGGUAACGGCCUACCAAGGCAACGAUCAGUAGCCGACCUGAGAGGGUAAUCGGCCACAUUGGAACUGAGACACGGUUCAAACUCCUACGGGAGGCAGCAGUGGGGAAUAUUGCACAAUGGGCGAAAGCCUGAUGCAGCAACGCCGCGUGAGCGAAGAAGGCCUUUGGGUCGUAAAGCUCUGUCGGAAGGGAAGAAACAAAUGACGGUACCUUCUGAGGAAGCCCCGGCUAACUACGUGCCAGCAGCCGCCGUAACAC
rnacentral:rRNA from 1 species